rnacentral:rRNA from 1 species
AUUGAACGCUGGCGGCAGGCCUAACACAUGCAAGUCGAGCGUGAAAGUUCUUCGGAGCGAGUAAAGCGGCGGACGGGUGAGUAACGCGUGGGAAUCUGCCCAGUAGUGGGGGACAACAGUUGGAAACGACUGCUAAUACCGCAUACGCCCUACGGGGGAAAGGAGGGGAUCUUCGGACCUUUCGCUAUUGGAUGAGCCCGCGUGAGAUUAGUUUGUUGGUGGGGUAAUGGCCUACCAAGACUACGAUCUCUAGCUGGUCUGAGAGGAUGAUCAGCCACACUGGAACUGAGACACGGUCCAGACUCCUACGGGAAGGCAGCAGUGGGGAAUAUUGCACAAGUGGGGGAAACCCUGAUGCAGCCAUGCCGCGUGUGUGAAGAAGGCU